rnacentral:rRNA from 1 species
UAGGGAAUCUUCGGCAAUGGGGGGAACCCUGACCGAGCAACGCCGCGUGAGUGAAGAAGGUUUUCGGAUCGUAAAGCUCUGUUGUUAAGGAAGAACGAGUGUGAGAAUGGAAAGUUCAUGCUGUGACGGUACUUAACCAGAAAGGGACGGCUAACUACGUGCCAGCAGCCGCGGUAAUACGUAGGUCCCGAGCGUUGUCCGGAUUUAUUGGGCGUAAAGCGAGCGCAGGCGGUCAAUUAAGUCUGAUGUGAAAGCCCCCGGCUCAACCGGGGAGGGUCAUUGGAAACUGGUUGACUUGAGUGCAGAAGAGGAGAGUGGAAUUCCAUAUGUAGCGGUGAAAUGCGUAGAUAUAUGGAGGAAAACCAGUGGCGAAGGCGACUCUCUGGUCUGUAACUGACGCUGAGGCUCGAAAGCGUGGGUAGCAAACAGG